ACAAAAAAACAAAUACUACAGUCACUCACAGAAGACACAGAUUACACACAUUACAUUAUCUACACAAGAUAACACUACACAGGGGGAUUCUCGGCACAAUUUUUGUCCACCAAACACACUGCCAUAAACACCUUCACAUAUUCACACACAUCUCCAUCUCCAUCUCCAUUCUUUUCAUGGAUUAGCAACAACCCAAUUCACAGACACAACCUCACUUUCACAGUCAUAGACAUACGACACACGGGAAAAUAAAAAAGAGGGUGAAGGACGAGAUUGAGGGAAGAGAAUAACAUGAGAGAGGAAAGGACAAAGAGAAUCGAGUGAAUGGGGUUGAAUGGAGAGAGAGAGGAGAUCGAGAGAUUUGAGGAGAGAGAGAUUGAGAUCCAGGGAGAUGAACGGAGAAGGGGUAACAGAAUAAAUCCGGCGUUUUGACUGUUUUUCUAGCGAACCUUUUCGCCAGAAUUGGUUUACAGUUGUCCGAGUAUUAUUUCCUUGAUACCGAGUUGGAUUCUUGUUCGCUGUUGAACUUCUAUUCAGAAUUUCAACUCCGGGCUUUCUUGAACAUUAUUACCAACGAAAUCUAUUCUUCGAAGGGAAUGUCAUGAGAUUAUGUUGUACUUAUUCAAUGGGGAAUGUCCCGAAGUAUUUUGUACUCGGAGGACGUCCGUGACAAAGGCUCGAGGCAUCGGGUAAAGUGUUGGAGCGUAGUUUAGGAUUAGUGUAGAUUAACGUAGGUUUACAUUUAUCCAUUUUUCUAUUUUAGGAUUGUAUAAUUGGACUGGACAUUAUAUUUUUUGCAAUUCAUUUUGUUUGUGUUGGUGUGUUUAAUUGUUGUGUGUUUAUGUGGUUUAUACAUUCCGUAGACACUUAAUUUUGUCCCUCCUGAAGUCUAAUUUUAUUCAUUUUUAGUUCACCUUACCAUGUGUCCAACCCCAUGUAAUUAUAUCCCACAAAAAUACAAAAAUAAACAAAAAAACAAUACCUCUAACUAAUUUAUCUUAUCCUAACAACCUACCCAAUCAAAAGCUUCCACCUCCCUAACCACUCACAUUUUUAUCCUCACAAUAACAAACUAAAAAAAAGAAUAUAUGGGGGACCCACCAAAAUUUUCACAUCAUAACAAAUUCAUGCCCAUUAUAAAAGAAAAAUUCUAAGAGGGCAAAAGGGGAGGCUUAUUCUUUGAUCAUCAUCUUCUCCAUAAUAACAACAAUCGCAAAAUAAUCUUCCUCACAAGAACAACAACAACAACAAAAAAAAGGGACGCUGGUGAAUAGUAAUCGGUGAACAGUAACAGCGUGAAAAGUGACGGUGAACGGGUCAUUAUUUGUCGAGUUGGAUUAUUGGUGUUAAGGUUCGGCUCGAGGUUUCCGGGUGCGGACUUUCUUUAUUCGAAUAACAUUGAGUUUGAAAGCUUCAAAUUUAAGGAGCCCGCCUGAAGAACAAGGUGAUGAAGCUGUAAGUCAGGAGCCCGCCUGAAGAACAGGGUGAUAAAAUUGCAAGUCAGGAGCCCGCCUGAUGAACAGGGUGAUGAAAUUAAAAGUCGGGAGCUCACUCGGAGAACAAAGUGAGAAAAUUCCAAGUCAGGAGCCCGCUUGAAGAACAGGGUGAUGAAAUUAAAGUGUUAUCUCUAAGUGUUAGUUUUGUUCCUCACUAACACGUUGAGUCUAUAUCUAGAUUUGAGCUUUAAAAAUUGAUGUUGUUGUUGUGAACAUAAGACUUGGCUGAAUUAUUGUUGAAAC